CGAUUCUCUCAGGCGCAGGGGCGGGCCGCGGUGGCGCGCGCACCGUGGGUCUCGCACCUGCCCUGGCUGAAGACCUGGGGCUGCGUGUCCUCGUGGCCUUCCCCCGGUGGGACAGUCGCUUCUUUCUUAAGGCACAAGUGGAGCAGGGGUAGAGAGAAGGGGAUAGAGAAUCAGAAGUGGACUCUUGGCCGACAACAGCUAGCCCGAUGAGUUUGAACUCAUGAACCGUGAGAUCAUGACCUGAGCCGAAGUCAGACCCUCAACCAGCUGAACCACUGAGGUGCCCCUGCAAUCCUGUUCUGCUGGAUAAGUCCUUGUACUUUACUCCUUUGCUGGCUUCUGCCUCACAUUUGCCAGUGCAAAAUGGAACCAAUAUCCUUUGGACUCUGAAAAAGAAUUGCUGCUUCAGUACCCAACUGGCUGAAAGAAGAGAGAAGACAUUAAGGGAGGAUUUGAAGUCUCUACCCCGAUCUUAUAAAUGAUAUCAAAUCUUCGUAGAUCAGGAUACAUCUAGUUGCUAGAUGAAGAGAUUACCCUAAUAAUUUCAGAGAUGGGUUUUAUCCCUGUUGUAUAUCUGAGGAAACCGAGACCCCGAUCAGGUAAGCAACUUUACCACAAUGACAAAGCUCUUCCGUGGAGAAACCAGAACAUAAACUAAGGUCAGCUUGACCCAAAGUUCCUGCUCACCACGUCCAUGUCUCUGCCCACAGGUAAUUUUAAUUUUCUGUUUCAUGUAUUUUUAUGUGUUCUAGGGGAUCUAAAAUAAGCAUAUAAUGCUUUUAUAAUCUGAAAAUAAAUCCAUAGUUUAACUGCUGUAUUAAAAAGAUGCAGAUUCACAAAUGACGAUUCUAAAAAUUGCUUCCUCCCAAGAUAUGGGACCAUGAACAGGAUCUUUAGGAACUCAAACUAAUGGGGUAAUGAGCAUGAGCACUCCUUUUAAUAAGUGUAAUCCCAAAGACUUUUGUGAGCCAUCUCAAUUCUGCAAAAUUUAUUCAUUUAAGAAAUACUUGCUUAACACCUACCUUUGCCAGGUAUUGUGCUAGAUGUUGGCGCAAUAGUAGGAGGACCAGGCUGAAGGACUUUCUUUGGAUAUUGGGAAAGUCUUUGGGGGAUAAGUAGAGAUGGGAAGAGACAGAGAAGGUGGCAAGACUGUCAAUUUAACACUGGAAGUCCUGGCUACAUACAUCUAAGGUUUUGUUGUUUUUUUUUUAAUCUUUCCCUAAAAACAUAUAGGAUUCCUGAGGAUCCAGGACACCCCCCGUAAAUGUCAUAAAAUGUGAAGGCUCUACAAUGCAUUCAUACUUUUACUCUAAUUAUACUAGUCAGAUAAACUGUUUUAUAUGUAUGUGUGUGUGUAUAUAUAUAUAUAUAUAUAGUUUUUAAUGUUUAUU